GUGGGGAAUAUUGGACAAUGGGCGCAAGCCUGAUCCAGCCAUGCCGCGUGAGUGAUGAAGGCCUUAGGGUUGUAAAGCUCUUUUGUCCGGGAAGAUAAUGACUGUACCGGAAGAAUAAGCCCCGGCUAACUUCGUGCCAGCAGCCGCGGUAAUACGAAGGGGGCUAGCGUUGCUCGGAAUCACUGGGCGUAAAGGGCGCGUAGGCGGACUUUUAAGUCGGGGGUGAAAGCCCAGGGCUCAACCCUGGAAUUGCCUUCGAUACUGGGAGUCUUGAGUUCGGAAGAGGUUGGUGGAACUGCGAGUGUAGAGGUGAAAUUCGUAGAUAUUCGCAAGAACACCAGUGGCGAAGGCGGCCAACUGGUCCGAUACUGACGCUGAGGCGCGAAAGCGUGGGGAGCAAACAGGAUUAGAAACCCCGGUAGUCC
rnacentral:rRNA from 1 species